rnacentral:lncRNA from 1 species
UCAAGCUGAGUGAUCCAGAGUCGACUGGCUCUGCAAAAUUGCUGGACUGACACUGCUCUUCCGUGUCUAAAAGAAAGGGCUGUGGCCCCCAACCUGGUAGUCCCCUCGUCAGACCCUCAUGUCUCCACCUUCACUGACUCAGUGCACCUUGCUACCAGGUACUCCCAGAAAUGUCACCUUUAGAGUGUUGCUUCUCCGUGCUUGAGGCGUGAUACCUGGUUUCCAAUACAAAUACUUGCAGUGACCAACUCCUUUAGGUCUUAUCAGCUUGU